CAGUCGGCCCCAGUAGUCGGGACUGUGUUUGUCUGAAUUUCUGAAGUAUUUUCAGCACUCUGUACAAGGCUUGGAAUCUAGAAGUUCCUCAAAAAAAAAAAAUGUGUUUUCUUGAAAAGAGGUGCACUCAGGAGAUAAAGCUGGAAACUCGUGGCUUCAUCCGAGGGAUUGGAGAUACAUCUUUAGAGGCCAAACCAGAACUGAUUCACCUUGGGUGCAGAGAGGGGCCAGCCACCCUCCUGGGGAACAAAGGACAUUUGCAUAAUGCCUUUUCAGUCAAUCCUUGUGGAAAGGACUAAGCCACCUUCUUGGAGAACAUUCUCUCAGGGGACAUUGCUGGAUGCCUGAUGUCCUCUUCAGUCCACCCCCAAAGUGACAGCCCUUCAAAAAAGGGACAAGAGUAUGACCAGCAUCCAAUUUUAUGGUUGAUAAACAUGUUUGGACCUUGAGCUCCCAGAUAAUAUGUUUCUAUGGGUCAGCUGGGCAGCCUCUGGAGGGAUGACCUUGGACACAUGACCACCAGCACAUGACACACGCGGCUGGCGGAGCCUCCGGUGGCCACACAGUUCAAUAAGCCUCGCUGCUCACAUGAUUUCCACCUUGCUCCCCCUGACCAUUCCCAAAUACAAAUGAGAAAA
rnacentral:lncRNA from 1 species